UACGGGGGGGGGCAAGCGUUGUUCGGAAUUACUGGGCGUAAAGGGCUCGUAGGCGGCCAACUAAGUCAGACGUGAAAUCCCUCGGCUUAACCAGGGAACUGCGUCUGAUACUGGAUGGCUUGAGAUUGGGAGAGGGAUGCGGAAUUCCAGGUGUAGCGGUGAAAUGCGUAGAUAUCUGGAGGAACACCGGUGGCGAAGGCGGCAUCCUGGACCAACACUGACGCUGAGGAGCGAAAGCCAGGGGAGCAAACGGG
rnacentral:rRNA from 1 species